rnacentral:rRNA from 1 species
AACGAACGCUGGCGGCAUGCCUAACACAUGCAAGUCGAACGAUCCCUUCGGGGAUAGUGGCGCACGGGUGCGUAACGCGUGGGAAUCUGCCCUUAGGUUCGGAAUAACUCAGAGAAAUUUGAGCUAAUACCGGAUAAUGUCUUCGGACCAAAGAUUUAUCGCCUUUGGAUGGGCCCGCGUUGGAUUAGCUAGUUGGUGGGGUAAAGGCCUACCAAGGCGACGAUCCAUAGCUGGUCUGAGAGGAUGAUCAGCCACACUGGGACUGAGACACGGCCCAGACCCCCCCGGGGGGCGGAGUGGGGGAAAUUUGGAAAAGGGGCGAAAGCCGGACCCCCCAAUGCCGGGGGGGGGAGGAAGGCCUUGGGGUUGUAAAGCUCUUUUCCCCGGGAUGAUAAUGCCAGUACCGGGAGAAAAAGCCCCGGCUAACUCCGG